GACGAACGCUGGCGGCGUGCUUAACACAUGCAAGUCGAACGAAGUGGCGAACGGGUGAGUAAUACGUGAGUAACCUGCCCUCCUUUUGGGGAUAAGCCUUUGAAACGGGUUCUAAUACCGGAUAAAGGGGGAUGGGGUCGGGGCCUAUCAGAUUGUUGGUGGGGGGAUGACCUACCAAGGCGGUUACGGGUAGCCGGCCUGAGAGGGUGACCGGCCACAUUGGGAAUGAGAUACGGCCAAGACUGCUACGGGAUGAGGCAGUGGGGGAUAUUGGGAAAUGGGCGAUAGCCUGAUGCAGCGACGCAGCGUGGGGGAUGAAGGCUUUGGGGUUGUAAACAUCUUUAGGUAGCGAGAGGGUAGGUGGAGAAGAAGCGACGGCUAACUACGUGCCAGCAGCCGCGGUAAUUC
rnacentral:rRNA from 1 species